CACGUAGGGGACGAGCGUUGUCCGGAUUCAUUGGGCGUAAAGCGCGCGUAGGCGGCUCGGAAAGUCGGUCGUGAAAUGCCGGGGCUCAACCCCGGGACUGCGUCCGAUACUUCCGGGCUGGAGGUAGGUAGGGGAGAUCGGAAUUCCUGGUGUAGCGGUGAAAUGCGCAGAUAUCAGGAGGAACACCAAUUGCGAAGGCAGCUCGCUGGGACGUAACUGACGCUGAGACGCGAAAGCGUGGGGAGCAAACAGG
rnacentral:rRNA from 1 species